rnacentral:rRNA from 1 species
UCUUAUGUACAUGCCUAUGGCACAGUGUUAACACAUUGGAUCCCAUUAAAGCUCUGUAAUUAAGUGUGUUUGGGAUAGAGUAGUAGUAGGAUGGGUGACCGCUCGGGUAGUCCUGGUGUUUUUACAU